CGCAGAUAGACUAAUGUUGUCGCUGGUUUUACAGCUAAUGGACGAGGGUCCUUGUGAAUAUAGCAGCAAGUGGUAUUUUGUUUGGCAGUGGAUGAGUGUCGGUUAGUAAAUUUAUCUGCAUGUAUAGCGUUGACGCCGAGAGAAAGAGCCUCUACUUUUUAGCCGUCUCGCCGGUGGGUGAAAUGGGGACAUAAAUUCCUUGUUUGGAUUCUGGCGAUUAUUUGCAUGUGAUUGUUGGGAAUCUAAAUCCAGCGCAGUAGUGGUAGCGGAAUGCACAUUUUGUUUUGAUAAUAUUACCAUUAAUUAAUUGAACCAUACAAUUGUCUGUCUUCUCUUCUCUAGAUUCUGUG
rnacentral:lncRNA from 1 species